rnacentral:lncRNA from 1 species
AUUAAUAUGAAUGCGUUCAUGAAAAUGCAAAAGGAGGAAUAAAUCCAGCAGAAGUUUUUAUUGCAUUUAAACAUCCACCUCCAGGACUGGAAACUCACACGCAGUGGGAUGGCAUGAAUUCAUGAGAACUGGUGAAAGAAGCCUGAAGCUGCAAGUGCAUAGACAUAGCUCAAGUCCUGAAAGGAUUUAAACAGAUCUUAAACCCUAAACCUGCGAAUAUUCUUACUGGUCCCAGUGGGGAAACAAUACAGAAUCCAUCCUUGCUGGAGGAAGGACAUGGCCAGCUCUUGGUGUAACACCUAAGUCAAGAAGGUUCUCGCUAUAUCUGGAACUCUGAGAAGUUUUCACAAUAUAACCAGG